UACGGAGGGUGCGAGCGUUGUCCGGAAUCACUGGGCGUAAAGGGCGCGUAGGCGGCGCGGGAAGUCCGUGGUGAAAGCCCGAGGCUCAACUUCGGGUCGGCCAUGGAUACUCCUGGGCUUGAGCACUGUAGAGGCAGGUGGAAUUCCGGGUGUAGCGGUGGAAUGCGUAGAGAUCCGGAAGAACACCGGUGGCGAAGGUGGCCUGCUGGGCAGUAGCUGACGCUGAGGCGCGACAGCGUGGGGAGCAAACAGG
rnacentral:rRNA from 1 species